rnacentral:rRNA from 1 species
GGGCUCACACAAGCGGUGGAGCAUGUGGCUUAAUUCGAGGCAACGCGAAGAACCUUAUCCUGGGUUUGACAUGUACGGAUGGCUCGCCUGAAAGGGAUGAGUCUGCCUUCGGGUGAAACGUACACAGGUGCUGCAUGGCUGUCGUCAGCUCGUGUCGUGAGAUGUAGGGUUAAGUCCUUAAACGAGCGCAACCCUUGUCCUUAGUUGCCAGCAUUUAGUUGGGCACUCUAGAGAGACUGCCGGUGAUAAACCGGAGGAAGGUGUGGAUGACGUCAAGUCAUCAUGCCCCUUACAUCCUGGGCUACACACGUACUACAAUGGUAAGGACAAUGAGCUGCGAUCCUGCGAAGCUAGCC